rnacentral:misc_RNA from 1 species
GAAAUGCGAUAAGUAGUGUGAAUUGCAGAAUUCAGUGAAUCAUCGAAUCUUUGAACGCACAUUGCGCCCCUCGGUAUUCCGUGGGGCAUGCCUGUUCGAGCGUCAUCUACACCCUCAAGCUCUGCUUGGUGUUGGGCGUCUGUCCCGCCUCCUUCGCGCGCGGACUCGCCCCAAAUCCAUUGGCGGCGGCCCUUGCCUCCAUUGCGUAGUAGCUAACACCUCGCAACUGGAACGCGGCGCGGCCAAGCCGUUAAACCCCCCAACUUCUGAAUGUUGACCUCGGAUCAGGUAGGAAUACCCGCUGAACUUAAGC